UAAAAAAAAAAAUUGAAUCAACAUCAUUGAUCGGAUUAAUCUGAUAAUCUCUGAGGCAAUGAUCUUUUCAGUUCGGAAUCCCAGUAAAAACUCCAUCAGCAGAUUUAUCCGAAAAUCAGUCUUUUUUUAAUUCUCUGAUUACACAAAAUUGAUCGGAAUAAUCCGAUAAUCUGUCUUGUUGUAAUUCUCAGAUUUCGACAUCAAUGGAUAAAUUAGGUGUGGAUUCCAAACGUAUUCGAUCGAAUAUGGGUCUUCUUUACCAGGAAAACAAAUAAAAGAAGCCUAAAUGAAAGAUAAGGAUCCAGAACCCCUUUCAAUUCUGUCUUUACAUCUAUUCUGUUGAAUUCGAAACUCUAAUGUUAACCGUUUAAUUUUGACAAGUUUAAUUUCUUCGAAAUAGGCGCUCAUUGGAAUUGCAUAAAUUGGAUUAAAGAAGGACUAUGAACAUACUGGUGUAUUGAAAGAAAGUCAAUGGUUAAACUACCCUAUAAAAUCUGAAGUGGAGCAAAAUACAAAUCUCUACACAAUCAUAAUAUAAUAGGCGUGAAUUUAGAUGUGGAUUAAGGUGGGAAAGAGAUCAAUUUCGGAUCUACAAUAUGACAGGUAUUCAAAACUUAGUUGAAGAUGAGGCAUGCAUAUCGUCCGCUCUUCAAAAUACAGGAAAGUUUGUGAUGUCUCUGAAAACCAUCGUUGGCGUUAAUUGUUUCUGUCUUUUCUUCAUUCUCAGGCAUCCAUCUAGUUAGAAUAGUCUCUUAUUAAUGGUGAAGUAUUUCCAAAAUUUUCAAUGAUUUUGAAAAUAAGAAUUUCUGGACUAAAGAUUGGCGUACCUGUUGAUUUUUUUUUUGUGGUGACUCUUUGAGCAGUCUCUGAUAUUGUGUUGUUACAUAUUAUUGGAACAGGUGAUAAAGAAGCAUCUUCUCCACUUGUACAAUCAUUUUUUUUUGUGUCCGGUUUUGGGUUGUAUUUUUUAAAGGAACUCAUUUUAGUUGUUUUAGUGAUAGCAUGCAUUUGUAAAAACUAUUAGAAAUAAUGUUUACUCACUUUGUAUAGUUUUUGUCCUUAGAUGAUGAAUGAAGUUGGGUGAUCCAAGUUCAGCAUACGAUUGGCGUAUUGGGACUGCUGACAUAUUUGAGCUUGAUUGAAUCUUCUUGGGGUUCGGAUGAGUAACAUUGUUUUAAACUAACAGGAACCCAAUCUGCUCCAUCAGGAUCAGCUGAUCCGAAGGCUUCAGAAUCUACUACCCUCCUUGUGGCGGUUAACUUUGAACAUUUUCGCUUUGAUGAGGGACCCAUCUGUCGAACGCAAUUUUAGCGUCUAUAAGUUUUCCAGGCUUCAAAAAACUGCUCUGCAAAGGAUCCCCAAAGAGUACAGGGAAGUCUGUCAUCCCUAUUACGAUAUUAAAAGACAGGUAGAUGAAGAAAAGGUUGCAGUUUAACUUACAUGUACAUCUGCGAGGACCAUGUCAAAGGUCUCUCCAAAAGCGGUGGUUUAAGUUUUCCAAGAGUGAAGGACUCGGACUUGCACUAUUCAGGAUGUCUUGUAGGGCUUGACAUCAUGGAGGAUUUGUUCAUCUACUACAGGCCCAACAUGGAUAACAAAACAAUAAAACAAUAGUGAGGCCCAACAUAAUAUCAAGAUCCAAUCAGUUGGAUAGGCAAUCGAGUUAUAAGGUGGGCAAUCGAAUAAACACGCGGACCCUACUCUCAAAAUCGAAUCUGUGAUUUUUUAUGUCAAUUUUGUCCUUCUCAAUUUCAAUUAAGUGUCUCUUUUAGUAAUAAUUGAGUGGCAAUUUGAGUAAAUACAUUAGGGAUUUUGGACAUUCUCCAAUUUGUACUUCUCUUAUAAUUCUUUUAAUAAUUAUAAGAAGAUGGAUAUUUUAAUG